rnacentral:rRNA from 1 species
AUUGAACGCUGGCGGCAGGCCUAACACAUGCAAGUCGAACGAGUGGCGGACGGGUGAGUAAUGUCUGGGAAACUGCCUGAUGGAGGGGGAUAACUACUGGAAACGGUAGCUAAUACCGCAUACCAUCGGAUGUGCCCAGAUGGGAUUAGCUUGUAGGUGGGGUAAAGGCUCACCUAGGCGACGAUCCCUAGCUGGUCUGAGAGGAUGACCAGCCACACUGGAACUGAGACACGGUCCAGACUCCUACGGGAGGCAGCAGUGGGGAAUAUUGCACAAUGGGCGCAAGCCUGAUGCAGCCAUGCCGCGUGUAUGAAGAAGGCCUUCGGGUUGUAAAGCACUUUCGUCGGGAAAGCGGUACCCGAAGAAGAAGCACCGGCUAACUCCGUGCCAGCAGCCGCGGUAAUUC